AAGAGCUACCAGAGCUUUCUGUGGGAACACUGCUUCAACAAGACCACUUCAUCUGGACUCCUACCACCACCACAGGGUAUCAGCCAGCACUAGAUCUACCAGGAAGAAACAGGAAAACAAAGAGCAAAAGCCUGGUGUGUCUAACCCUGACUGUUGGUAACAUCCCAAGGCCGUGGCAGAUUUUAUGGAGACAUUAAGGCCAGGUGAAGAAACAGCACUGCUGUUGUGCAGCUGGUUUUCCUCAUAAACAAAUAACACAGAAUAUUCUGUGGUGACCUUACCUGCAUGAGGCAGAAGGAGUUUUUCAAAUGGUAGUUGAGGUUGUGAGGGCUUUCCAAUCUAAUUGUAAUUGCUGGCGGAGCUAGCAAGGAGGUGCAGAAAUGUUCCUUUUGCCUCUGUUACCCGUCAGAGCCCAUUCGUUUAAGAUCUUGUUAGUAAAGCUGUAGUU